UACAGAGGUCUCAAGCGUUGUUCGGAUUCAUUGGGCGUAAAGAGCGUGUAGGCGGCCAGGUAGGUCUGCUGUGAAAACUCGAGGCUUAACCUCGAGCUGUCGGCGGAAACCAUCUGGCUAGAGUCCGGAAGAGGAGAAUGGAAUUCCCGGUGUAGCGGUGAAAUGCGCAGAUAUCGGGAAGAACACCCGUGGCGAAGGCGGUUCUCUGGGACGGUACUGACGCUGAGACGCGAAGGCCAGGGGAGCAAACGGG
rnacentral:rRNA from 1 species